rnacentral:rRNA from 1 species
UACGGAGGAUGCAAGCGUUAUCCGGAAUUACUGGGCGUAAAGCGCGUGUAGGCUGCUUCGAAAGUCGGAUGUGAAAGCCCUGGGCUCAACCUAGGAAGUGCAUUCGAAACUUCGAAGCUUGAGUUCUGGAGAGGAAGGCGGAAUUCUCGGUGUAGAGGUGAAAUUCGUAGAUAUCGAGAGGAACACCGGUGGUGAAGGCGGCCUUCUGGACAGUGACUGACGCUGAGACGCGAAAGCGUGGGGAGCAAACAGG